AGUUAUUUGAAUCUGACAUGGACAUUUAUCUUUUGCAAAUUUUGCUGCUUAUAGUCAAGAAAAGAAACCUCUCCAGAGCCCUCCGUUAAGUGGUGUGGUGUGCAUUUGCGCAAGAGCAUCUGGAUUGGACGAUAGAGGACUUACAGAAAUGGUAUUUAAUAUGCUUGUGUUUUAUGUUCUAAGUUGUUCACACCUGUAAGC
rnacentral:misc_RNA from 1 species